AGAGAGGCCCCAGAGAGGCGCGGGCAGAGACCUCCCUGGCGGUGCUGCCCGCUCCAGCGCCACUGUGCCCUGAUGGCCACGGCCACGCUCGGACGGGAAUUUUCAGCUCUUCAUGUCAAGCACAACAGUGUCAGUGCUUCUCCUAGACCUACGAGUGACCCCCACCAGAUACAAAUAGUCUGGAAAACAUCGCUCCCAUCCCCUGACCAUGCGCUCAGAUACUGCUGCCGCUCUGAUCUCCCCUGCUCCCAGACAGGAAUAAUAAAUUUCUGCGGUGCCUUAAUCAGCUUCCCGAAGGCUCUCAGGAGCCAGGAGUGUAUGAUGAGUUGCUAAUCACUCUCCACAGGAGCCGACGUCUCUGUGAGUCCUACCAGUAAUCCUCCCUGCUGUCCCCUGGCCACAUGGUAUGCCAGAAUCUCAUCAGGGGGUUUAACAGAAGGGAGGACAGCGAAAAGCUGUUCCAUCAGCUAAAGCAAAUCAAGGGCUUCAGCUUACAUGGCUUGCCCAGUGUCAGCUUUCAACCCAAGAGACUUUGGUGUAGGAACCUCCCCGAGCUGAAUGUGGGGACCCUGUGUGUAAAUGGCAACAUAAUCUGGGGGAAAGGGGUAAAGGUCAGAGUGGAUUUAGAGCUGCUGUGAAGUCUUCACCCUUUCCACUAAGUCCUGCAUUUCCCUAAUCAUCAAGCAAACACUGCAGUUGGAGGGAAAAUGUGCAUCCAUGCUGGGCAGAGAUGAUACACACACACCCUGCUGGAUUUGGAAGCAGGAUCCCAGGGGAAGCACAGUCUCUCCUUCUGCAGCGCAGAUGAUGCUGAACAUCAGCAGAUGUGAGAGCACCAAGAAGAGUUCCCGAUGGGAAAUGAUGAAGCACGGAGACCCAGGGAGGCUGCAGAUGACUGCGGACACAGAGGAGAGGGCUCUCAAGGAGCCAAGGGAGGCUCAGGCAAGACAGUGCAAGGAAAGGAAGGCCAAGGAAGUCUGUGAGUUCACUGGAGCAGAGCCAGGGGGAAGCCUGAAAAUCAUUCAGACCUGGAUCUUAGAGCUAAUGGAACAGUGCAGGUGGUGGCAUCCAUGUGAGCAGCUGAGGGACACACUGCAUGUGACAGAGCCUGGAGUGCUGGGAUUACACAGCAGAGUGUCAUCCUCAAGGAUCCUGACACACAAGCUGGCAGUCACAUGUAUCCCCAUGUAUACUAUGGUGCCUGUUGGAACAGGCAACCAUGUUGUGGCUGUCACAGCCUUGUUCAGUGCUGCUUCACUGCCCAGACCAGAGAGGAACCUUCAGACUGUGUUUUCCUACACCCACCCACUUCUUAGCCACCCUGGAAGGGCGAAGAUUAGAGUGAUGCUAUGCGCUUUGCAAUUCAAAGCCUCCUGCAUCCACCAUGUCAGGGUGUGCUCCAUGCCAGAGGGAAGGACUCUCACUGGCCAGACAGGUAAGGGGCAUGGCAAGGUUUAGACACCACAGCUCAGUUCGUAGCAGUCUGCAGCAUUCAGUCCACUUGCAUUAGUUAUGAACAGACAUUGAAGAUGAGUAAAAGCAGGAUGGGAUAUGCAUCAUGCCCCCAGUAUCUCAUGGCUUUUACCUCAUGGGGCCCCCUAAUUUUGAUACUGUGACCCUCAGCAGAGCUGCCUUCCUCCCUGCUCUGUUUUCAGGUCUUCCUCUCACACCAGGUUCCUGCCCAGCCUCUGUGCCGGUGUGCCAGACCUGUUUGACUUUGAAAUUCAGCCACUUUGUAUGGCUGUACCUUUCUAAAGCUAGCUCUGAACAGCACCUCCAUCUACAGUCUUACUCCUAGUGCAGAGCUCAUUGCUACCACAGCUGCUUUCUGGGUCAAAGGAACUAAUUUGAUCAUAGAAUCAUCAUGUAAGAGGGUUUUAACCUUCAUUAUUUCCAAUUGCAGACUCAUUUAAAUGCAGCAUUCAAAAGGCCCUGCAGUGCAAUUACACAACCAAGUGCAGGAAACUUAAUAGCUCUUAAUUUGCACCAUGGCAGUAAGGUGAUAUCAGCAUUGGCACUUUUUCCAAGCAGACUUUUUCUCCAAAGUGCCACCCCCACAAGGAGUUCCACUAUCCUCUUCCUCUGAGAGCAUUCUCAGCAAUGAAUUCAGCCCAGCCACACAGCAAACCCUCACCGCCCUGUGAUACUGAGCAGAGGAAGUUCAUUCAUGUAUUUAUUUGGACUUGUCUGGGAAAACACUUCCUCUAUUACCCAUUGUUUCCAAACAGCCCUUCUUGUGUGAGGAGCCAGCAGGAAAAGGCUUUCCUGGGCAGCAGCUCCAGCCUGACCUGGCCUCAGAAGAGGGAGCUGCACCCAGGCUGGGGAAGGACAACUGGUGUCAUUUGCUUCUCAUGGCCAGCGGGGUCUCACGCUCCUGCUUUGCUGCAUGGAAAUUCGGUGGUUUUCUGCUCUGCAGAUCUUUUGCCAGCACAGCUGCAGCCUUUUCUAAGACCUUUGUAAUGCCUUGUCCAGACUCUGCUAUCAACAAUCCUUGUUACAUGAAAAUACACUGUGAACAGGAAUGCCACUCUGUGCUACCAGGGCCACAAGGGGGGCCACAAACCCAGAAGUGAAACAAGACCAGCAGCAGCCCUGCAGCAAAAGAUGGGCUGGUCAGCAGAUUGCCACUGUCCCUGCCUUGCCUGGCCAGCCCUGGCUCUGCAACCUUGGACCCCUCCAAGCCAGGCCAUGUGGCAAUUUUCCGGGUCCACAGCAGCACCCUUCUCAGAGCCACAGCCACACCACAAAGCUGGCCCUGGUGCAUUUGCUUUGAUGCCUCCGCAGGCAGGCAGGGGGGAGCUGCUCCAGCAGCCCAGGCAGCAGGGGCAGGAGACACGUUUUGUUCCAACCCUCCUAGGAACAGAAGAAGUUUUCUUUUGUGUAAGAAGGGAGUGUUCAAAUCUGCUGCCAUCCAAGGCAGUGCUGGGGAGCAAAAGCUUGUUUAUCUUUUCCUCCUUCCUUCCAUCAGAUGGUAACAGGACAGAUCUGGACCUGGGUUGUUUCCCAGGGGAACUGCAUAAUAAAAAUACAGGUAGUGGCUGAAAAAAGCUGCUACUUAGAAAUGAGAUUUCUUUUCUGUAAUCGUCAGCUCCCACAGGCCUUGUCACAAAGGAGCUGCCAGUGGUGGCACCAGAGGUGAGAGUCAGGACUUGCCUCCACUGCCAAGUGAACACCUGAGUCAUCCCUGCCUUCGUGGAGAGAGGAAUGUACUGCAAUAAACCCCUGCCUGCUUGAGGUUAGAAGUACAAUUGUUGUUGCUGACCAGAAAUAAAUUAAGCAGUCUAGUUCUGCUACUGGAUAACCUCUGUCCUCUAGGAAUAGUAUGAUGCUGGUUAGGAAACACUGACCAAAUGUUUAUGUAUUAAAGUUCCUCAAAUGCAUUUUCUUUCCAGGAAGAAAGAAAAGUAAACUGGAAAAGUUAUUAGGCCUAGCAAUAGAAUGUGUCACAAGCCCAAACACCAAAAGCCUUUGAAUUGAGAUGCUGUGUGAAAACUGCAAAGAGAAAUGUGUGAUUUACUGUUCUCAAUGCCAUGGUGCUACAAGGUGUCAUGACUACACUGAUGAUUUCAUCAAACAAUUUUUGAUCUGAAGCAUCACUUCAAGCAUCCCUGGGAGACAGUGCUCUGCAGAUUAAGAGUCCCCCUUUCCAGAGAAUGAUUGAAGAGUAAUCAAAAUGCUCCACAAGUUCCUGAAGGUGACAGUAAAAUUCAAAUACCACAGUCAUUUUAAAAAUCAAGCUCUUAAAGGAAAUACAGUAAUCUGGAGCAAAAUUACUUUUUUUUCAGCCUUCUUCAUUAUUUGCCAUGACAUGAAUGAUAGUAAUCUGCAGAGCAAACUGAACCCUACAGAGCACCUUCUGGCUUUAGAAUCAACCCAGGAAUGCUGUGUAAUCACACAAGCUGUGGACUUCAAGGAGACUCCCUAAUGUUCUCAGUGCACACAGACAUUUCAACCCUCAUGAGAUUCUCGCAUUCUGAGCAGAUUAAGUCAGAGAAAAAUCACACUGACCAUGGAGCAUUCUGUCCCCCAAAAGCUGGGGGACCUCUGUAUCUCCCCUGGUGACAGUCUGGUUUGGACAAUUUCAUCAAGCUUCUGAGGCCUUCUCUGCCCUUUUGAAGCUUCAGUGGGGCAGUGACAAGAUGACAAAUCACGGUAUUUCUAGGCUUUAGGCAGUAGCCUCUAAGUGAAUUUCAGGCUUUUAAGCAUUAGGGCCCAAAGAAAAUUCAGUUGUUCAUUGGGAGCAGAAGAUAACACAAAUUCAAGUUCCCUGGAGGCAGUUAAUGAUCUCUGGGUGAGUCAUUCUCACUCCUGUGGGACAGUGCCUCUUCAUUCCACACAGGAUGUACAUUCUGUCUAAUGCCUACAGGGUUGUUCAGAACUAGCUGAUGAAUUAUUCUGAGAAAAUCAAGUUGCCUUCCGAUAUUUAGUGGAGAAAACGCCAUGCACAGCCUUGGAAGCUGCACUGUUAUAUUGUAACUUCUUUUUCUCUUGGCAGCAAGCUGGACAAUUUGAUUUCUAAAAGAAUAACUGACUCUGCAGUCAUCUGCACUCCCGCUAUUACCUUAACCAAACUAGUGAUCAACAUCUGAAAAACCUUAGGUCUGCCCCAUUCUGAAAAAAGAAAAUGGGAACUCUCUGGUUCAGCCUAAUGCAGGCUAGAAAAACUUCUGAAGCCUUCAAUACUUGCCCAGGAUUUUCCAUCUGCAUGGAGUUUGUAGCUUUUGUAGUCUUGUGUCUGUUUCUGGAAACUGAUAACACAAGGCCACAAUACAGACAAUGCCCUUUAGAUAGUAUUUACUGCCUUUUUAAUGGUCUAAGCACUGUUAGAAGCAGAAGCAGUUUACUGAGGAAGCACUGGAAAUUAGCAUCCUAGAGGCUGAAUUUUGAUCCCUGAUAUCAAGCAGAUAUUAGCUCCUUACUCACAAAUACAUAAUUACUCACAAAUCAGUAAUUAUGCCUAACCAUUGCCAAUACUUAGCCUUUGUGACAUAUCUGCUGAAGUCCUUUCUACAAAGUUCAGGAUAUUAUUGUUUUGUUUUCUGAAAAGUUGUUGUUUAAUAAAGCUGUAAAUAUUGAUUUAGAACAUGGUCAGAUAGGGUUAGCUCAUUGUGAAGCACAGACAGAAGGAAAUCCAGCAGACUACUAAGAAACCUUUCCAGCCCAGGAAGCAGCUGGACUGUUAGGCAUCUUCCUACUUUAUCCAUGCACAAACCACAUCACUUUCUGGAAGGGGUAAUAAUUGUUAGCUUUGGAUCACAAAGCCUCCUCCCAGCUACAGAAAUUAUUAUCUGACUAACCAUAGCUGGGAUGGCUUCACAUUUCCCAUUUACCCGAUGAGGUUUCUAGUGUUUUCUUGGAAGGACCGAGCAUCUAACCAGAUAAAAAAAGAAAUAAAACUACCAACCCCAAAACUCCAAUGCCGAAGAAACUUUAGACAAUAAUAACUUUCUGGGAUCAUUCCUUCCUAGCUGUGGGAAUGUUUAAAUUACAGUGCUAACUGGGAAUAUUGCCUGCAGCUUUCAUAGAGGUACCAUAUGAGGAACAGGAUCUUGUGGUCCUGGUCGUAAAAUGAAGAACCCACCUGAAAGUUCAACCCAGUGUUGAACUGCAUAUCAGUGUUGCUUUAUGACACAAGGCUUGUGUUUUCUGUGCUCUGCAGCGCGUGCAACCUCCUUCUGUGAAGCAUCUCCUACACCAAAACAGCUGAGAGAGAAUCCCAGUGUUGUGGAGAAGUGAGAUUAAAAAAAAAUGAAACAUUUUCUUACCACGACUCUACAUACUUUGAAGCAGGUUCCUCAAAUUUGCCUGGCUCACACCUGGGCUAAAUGCCUGAGGGUAGGUGACAGAACCCUUGCAGAGUGUUCACAAGGGUUCUGCUUUGCUCCCACUGAAGACAACUCUGAUUUUAGCUAUAACUGACUGUAAUGUCUCACUUCUGUCUCAGAAGUUAUCCUACCCUCUCUCCCCAGAUAAUCUCUAGGCGAUUAAAUGCUUUAUUAAAAUAAUAUCUGCACUACCUUCAAGGAGCUGCCUUUGCAUCACUCUGCUUUAGGGGUUAACUUGCCCUUUUAUUUCCUCAUAGACUUUUUCCAAAGCAGAGGAGAAAUCUCUGUGCUAGAGCACUACAACUUGACUACCAAUGGUAGUAUUUUAAUUCCAUGCCCCAAGAAAAUGUUUCUGGAUGCCAAUACUCUUGUGUAAAAUAAAUUUCUAUACCCUGCAUACAUGCACUCUGCAUAUACAUGUAUGUUUAUUAAUGACACAGUAAGUCAUGCACUUACAUAUUCUCCUACAUUAAAAGGCAGGUUCUAAGGAAAAAAAAAUAGCGGCUUUUAGAUUAGCAGCUCUCAAAAAUAUUACUCUUGGCUCCAAUCAAUUUAGGCAUUAUACACUUUAUUAGUAACAUAGAAUGGUAAGGAAUGAUGCCAUCCACAUAUACACAUACAUACAGUAUUGCAAUCAGAGAAUAUUCAUUAGGAACUUUUAAUUUUCUCUUGGAAUAAAAAAUUGGACACUAACAAAACCAAAAUAUUACAGCAAAACACAUUUGUCAUCUUCAUGAGUAGAACAAAGGCAUGAGCAGUAUAUAACAUGGGUCUUAUACAGAAAUACAUUUCUCUUAGGAAAUUUUUUGCUUAAUUCAUUCUAGUUCCUGCAUUAAAAUCACUUUUCCCUCUUCACAGAAUUCAGACCAAAUGGUGGGGCUGGGGGCAAUCACAUAUUAUUGUGUACAAUGACAACUUGUGCUCCAUGAAACAUCAAUAGCCUGUAACACUUGAGAAGGUACAUACAUGUAUUGAAAGACAAAAACUGUAAAGGUCACACACUCCCAUUCACACAGAAAAACUAGUGAGUUCACAAAAUGGAAAAGGAAAGCAAUAAAUGUUUACAGCUUAACCCAAUUUCACUUAGUUGUAGAUGCACAAGGUAGUACAAAUAUUUCUCAAAAACCCAUUGUUUCAUUAGGCAACAUGGGCUGGCAGCUCUGAAACACACUCCACUGAUUGUCUCUGAAACAACAUACUGCCUUGAACAAAAGAGAUGACCAAGAGGCUGAAGUUAGAAAAGCCCUAUUGAUACCUUAGGUUUUAACUUUCAUAUCUUCCUGUACUGUAUUAGUUCUGUACUGCAUUAGUAUAUAACUCUGAAGUUUAUAUAAAGUGUUAGCAAAUUCUCUUCACAGUUUAGUUUGACAAAACAAUCCUUUUCCAGCCUGAGAACCAAGGACACCAUUGCAGCUUUGGGCCCAAAAGGUAUAAACAACAGAUAACUGAGGAGAGCAAUCUGGGAGGAUGGGACUUCAUAACCUGAAGCUGUAAUUGGACAAUUAACCCCAAAAUGUAAAUGGACCAAAACUUAUAAAAGUGUGAAAACAUGUGACCCGUAGUCCAUCUUGGGUGUAGCCAUGGCUGGGCUCUUGUACGACCCAAGGUCUAUCCUCUGAAGGCCUUUUUAACAAAUACAUACUUUAUUCCUUUAACACUGUCUAGCCUCUGUUGUAGGUAGCCUCUCAAGACAUCCCUAUUAAUCUGACAUUAUUUAUAUGUAUUCCUGCUACUUCCUCCCUUGUUCUUUCUUCCUCAUAAACCAUAGGCAUUUAGCAACAGAAAGAGGUGUUACUAAAGACAAACACCCAUCUACAAAUACUUGUUCUGAGGGACUUACCUACCAGCAAUUCCAGACUCCAUCCUACAGGUCUCGUAUUUUCACACCCAGCCAGUACAAAUGAGGGGUUUAAGGCUGUGGCAGGAAUCCUAAAUAAAAAUGUGUCAAUGUUCUCUGAGUCUCUUCCACUGAAAUGACCAAAAGUUUACUGUGGCUGGGAAGAACCACACAGGUAAGAAAUAAUAUUAACGCUUAUCUCCGAAUUUUGUAGCUGCAAGUUAUCAACUGCACAACCUGCUGGGCUCCUGGGAACUUGGGGGCAGCUCCCUUGUUUAUGCUCCCCACUGUGUGUGUUCUCUCGCAUCCUCCAGAGCUCUCCUGAAACAGGUGGGAAAAAAGCAAAUUGAAAAGAAAAAGCUGAUGCAUGGGACUGGGAUGCCUGUUCUCGCUUGGUUUCUUACACCAUCUUCUCCUAGUUGAUGUGCAAUUCAAUUCAUGAUACAAUUACUUUUUUUAAGCAGCUAGAAUUUUUAGUCCUCAACUCUACUCUUGCUGGGGGGCUGAGCCAGGAUCUGAAGGCUGAGAGUCAGAAACCCUAUGUGCAAUUCCAAAUGCAUGUGGAAUUUCCAGGCUAAGAAGGUUGCAUGGAGAACUCAUAGCAACCUUCCAGUAGAGGGAAGAGGACUACAGGGAAGUGGGAGGGACUCUUUGUCAGGAAUUGUAGUGAUAGGACAAGAGGGAAUGGAUACAAAGUGAAAGAGAGGGAAUUUAAUUUAGAUAUCAGGAAUAAAUUUUUUACUGUGAGGUUGGUAAGCACUGGAACAGGUUGCCCAGGCAGGUUGUGGACACCCCAACCCUGGCAGUGUCCAGGGCCAGGUUGGAUAGAGCCUUGAGCAACCUGAUCUAGUGGGAGGUGUCCCUCUCAUGGCAGGUGGGUUGGGACCAGAUAAACUUUAAGGUCCCUUCCACCCUCUUAACAUGCUAUGAUUUUAUGUUUGAUUGAGUGGAUGUUUUCUGCUAAAACCCAAAAAUUGAAAAUUAAAAGCAAAAUCCACAAGGCCUCAAUUACUCCAAAUUUACUUCUGCCAUGAGCUAGAACCUCAAUUUCUUGACAGAUGGUAAGACUAUUGCAUAAAAAAAAUACUGAUUUGUUCUUUAUUGGCUUUUUAUUCUGCUGCUGAGCCUUUCAUUUAAAUACUUCGUCAUUGCCUGAAAAUAGCUCAUAGGUUUCCAACUUUCAAGCUCCUUUUAGAAGGGGAAUAUUAAAUUCAGGAUGUAAUUAAGCCUUCAUUAUUAGGAAUAUUUUCUUUUCAGGGACCCAGCAGGGUUUCCAGCAAGCCAAAAUCUUCUUUCAACUUUUUCAGAAGGUAGCCAAGUAAUUUGGCAGAAGAUAAAAAACACAAGGAGCCAGAACCAGAAUAUUUUUUCAAUAAUCAGCUGAACAUAACUAGAGAAACUGGAAACUAGCAGUAAAGAAAGGAAUUGAAAUAUAAAUUUUAAGAAUGGAACAAAAAUACUCAAGUCUUUUCUUUUGAGCAGUUUAUACUGAACAGGUCAGCAAACAUCCUGGACACUGCCAAAGACUUUCCACUGGGGAAUUUGAAAACAAUUCCCCAAAAGUACAAAAAUAUUAUCUUGUUAAGAUUUUGCAACACCAAAAGUCAAAGCAACCGUGCAUGGGCCAUGAACAUAAAUAUUUUCUGUAUCUGUAUCUUGAUGAAAAACAUAUAUAUAUUUUGGCACAUCAUUAUCAUUUUUUCAAAGGAAAAAGCCAUCCACAUAUGUCACAAGGCAGAAACUUUCAUUCUUCUGAGUCAGGCUGAAAACCUGCACACCCCUUGAUGGGGCAGCUUCAGUGUAAAGGACUGACAUAUAGAAAGCAUCUCUACUUUCACUCCUAUACCCUUGCCUGCCAUUUGAAUAGCCAAGAGUGACUUUUCCUAUAUUCAGCUGCUUGAGCAGUAGACUCUUCUGGAGUUCACCUCCCCAGGAGCAGCAAGGCCUGGCCAUUUUCUCCCUUGCACUGGACCUAGCAAAGAGACAAGAACCCUUUUUGGCAAGGCAAGUGUUCCAAGUUUAUUCUUUGUUUAUUCUGAUAGGUCUUUCCCUGUCUAAAGCAUUUAUUACACAAAAUGUUUAAAUCAAGAUCAUCAUUUAAAUCAAGAUCAUCACAUUUAGAGGCUAAGCUUACAAAGAUAAUUUUUCAGGGCCCUUUUUGUACAAAAGGAUUUUCCUGAGUCUACAGCAAAACAAGAAAAAGAAAAGCGUUUAAUUAUAUUUAUUGUACUUAGAGAUUAUCUUGGAGUUUGUUGUCAUUUAACCCCAGCCAUCCACCAAGCCCCAGGCAGCCACUUGCUCACUCCUUUCCCCACCAGUGGGAUUGAGGACAGAAUCAGAAGGGUAAAAACUGGAAAACUCAUGGGAUGAGAUAAAGGCAGCUUAAUGGGGAAAGCAGAAGCCAAGAAAAACAAGGAAUUAAUUUACUGCUUCCCAUGGGCAGUCAGGUGCUCAGCCAUCCCCACCAAUUGCAAUGGCUUCUUGGGAAGAAAACACCAUUAGUCCAAACAUCCCCCCUUGCUCCUUCUGCCCCCCACUGUAUACACUGAACAUGAUGUCACACGGUCUGGAAUAUCCCUUUGGUCAGUUGGGGUCACCUGUCCUGGCUGUGUCUCCUCCCAACAUCCCAUGCACUCCCAGCUUCCUCGCCUUUUCUGACGUAUGAAAAGCAGAAAAGGCCUUGGCUCUGUGUGAGCCCUGCUCAGCAAGGAUAAAACAUCUCUGUGUUAUCAACCCUGUGUUCAGCACAAAUCCAAAACACAGCCCCAUGCCAGCCACUGUGAAGAAAAUUAACUAGCCCAGCUGAAAACAGCACAGAGUUAAAUAAUUCCCCAUCCCCAACUGCAACAACCUGUGGAAAACUUCAAGUAGGAUUCCACCUUCUGGAUGGCACUGCAUCUGUGGGAACUCAAAGACACAGUACCAUUGAUAGCACUGAACUUGCAGGCUCAGUUUGCCGAGCUAAAAAUGAAAUGUUUCCAAAAAGUCCACUAACCCAGGCCUGACUUUCCCAGCAAUAGUAUUAUUGUAGUGCUAUCAGUUCUGUGGGUAAAGGAGAAAAUUUUCAAAAGCACUGCACUGAAAAACCCCCAUCCCAAAUCCAGAUAAAUGAAGUAACUAAAUUACUGUUAAUAAUGUCUGCUCAUUCAGCAGCUAAGAUGGUAUAAAAGAAAAUAUUUGAUCAGAAAAAGUGAAAAUAUCAUUAUUUUCUUUUCAGUCAUCCUUAUAGCUUUUAACAAACUGCAAAAUCAAUGACUUAAGUUACACAAGCACAGGAAUUUCACAUGAGACAAGCGAUACAAUUCAUAAAAAGGACAGAACACGUUUUCUGAUACUCCACAAAUAUUCAGAGGUUUAACACACAAAAUGGAAUUUCUUCAGCAGCACUGAUUAAACUCAAGAUGAGGCAGGGAUCUUCUUUACAAAGUAAAGGCACUGGCUCUUUGUAAACACAUACUCCUCUCUCUUUAACUGAGAAAGCACUCAAAAUAUUCCAUGAAGGAAACUUGUGUGGUAGUGUUCCAUUGCUUAUAAAUAUUUCAUAACAGAGAUAUCAAAGGCCUUUGUCCUCCUUUUUACUGUAUUUAAUAAGAAAUGUUUUUUUCUCCAAUUUAUCUAGUGAGAAACUUGUUAAAUCUCCCCAGAAAUGCUACAAUGAAGCUAUAGCAAGAACAGUGUUUUCUCUUAUCUGCCUUCUGAUACCUAUAAAGAAGUUUCAAGGCAAAAGAAAUGUCAGAUGCCAGUAUGAAACACACACGUCAUCUCUUGUUUUCAGUAUUGUGCUAUCAGUUUUCCAGAAGGAAUCAUUGGCUUAUAUUCAAACACAGAUACAUUUAAAAUAAAAAAUGAACUCGUGAACAUCCUCCUGAUGUACAUUUCCCUACUCUUUGACUUUCAAAUGCACCAGCAAGACUGAACAAGAAAAGAUUAGAUACUUCUGAUCAUGACAACUGUACUUCAAGAUUCCUGAUUUUUUUUCAAGUAUGCAUCCUGAAUUCACAUCUCCCUACGGUGGAGAGUGUUCACACAGCUCUUUAAUAAUGAAACUGCAAGACUUGAAAAUGUUAAAAUAAAUAUUCCAUACAAAGGUGAAUUGUUUGCAUCUUGAGCAAAACGAACUGAGCGUCUUCAUAGCUUCCAGUACACAACUACCACCAAUAUCAACAAACACAUUUCACUACUCAUACACACAAAUCCAGUGAUUACACUAGCUCAUAUCAUUCCAUAUCUAACCAAACUUGUGCAUUUCUGUGUCACCUUCCUUUAGCCUCAUAAAUCUGACUGAAUCUUUAAUGUAGUGCUUUCAGGUUCUACAGGACUGUCAACUGGUACCUGAAGAAGGAGAAAAAAGUAAAAACACAACAGGAAUUAAGCUGUUAUUCAACAGAAUUUUUCUCAAACUCAGUAUUCUUGGGUAAUUAUUAGGUUAGGCUUCAACAGUACAAGUAGUUAAUUAGCCCAAUUAAGCAAAUUAUAUAAAAUCCUAUUUUCCCUUAUUUUUAUAAUAAAACAGACCAAACAUAGUUUAGUUUCUUAGCAUAACUCUAAAGUAUAUAUUUAUGGCAUAUAAAUAUGUCACAUAAAGAUUAACUUCCCAUUUUUUUUCUCUUUUACAUUUAACCACAGUAGAAUCUUGAUCAAGGCUCAGUAUCAAAGUGAUAUUGAACAUUAUUAACCCAGGAGGGUCUCAAUAAUGCAUGGCAACAUCAGGGCAAGGACUGCAGCUUUUCUUACACCGUGGCUAAUAGGAAUGAAGCUUUGUGAUGACCUAGGCUAGUUAACGAGGUGAUAAUGGAAAGAAGAUAAAUCAUGCACAGCCAAAACCCCGGCUGGGAAACCCACAGGAUGCCACACUGAGCACACGAAGCUGCGAACAGGUUUCAGGCUCAAGUUAGCUCAGACCACACCAGCCUGGAAGUUUCUGAAUCUCAUAGAGACACUAACAGUGUGCAGUCGGUCACAGAUGAUCAAAAGCUGGUGGGCAUGCACCUACACAAAAAUAAGACACCUACACAAAAAUAAACAUGGCAGAGGAUCUUGCGAUGUGUGACUCCUAAAAGCUGUCUCAUAUCUUGAUCCGAAUAAUCAAAAACCACAGCACUGAAAAAAUUUUCAACUGAGAGCUUUAUUUCUCCUAGUAACUGUAGUAGUUUGGGAAAGCUGCUGAAACAUGGAGCCUUGUGAUCAUCAGAAAAUGCUAUGCUCACUCUGCCUUUAAAUUGAGAGUGCCAGCAGAAGAACAAACCCAGCACUGCAUAGAAACUCCAGCCUGGCUUCUGUUUAUCAGACACUGACUUCAUCUGAAGGGACUGCAGACAUUUUAAAUAAAAUACAUACUCUAUAGGAAGGCCUCAUAGCCCAAUAAACAAAAAGGCUUCACAAUUUACAAUGCUACCCUGCUAUUAUGAGAAAGCAAGAUUCAAGCAAUAAAAAAAUAUUAUUAGCCACUUAAAAUUCAAAUACUCAAAAAUUUAAAAAUUAAAAAAAAUCUGAGAGCAGAAGUUUUUUCAGUUUUUUUCAUGGGAGUUAAGAAGAGAAACUGAUUUGUGAGGGCAGCAUCCCAUGUGGCUCUGUUGUUCAAAACUAGCAUGGAAUCAGUCAUAAGAUUUUGUCAAGUACUCUUUUGCAGCUGAUAUUUUUAUGCCAGUAGAAGUCAAGCAUUCAAGCAGGUAAUACAAUCACGGUAGAAGAGUCACCACUUACAGCUUUGACGUCCAAGUUCAUAAUCCCUGAAUUCACAUUGUGUCUUCGCAAAUCUGAUUUUAUUAAGGCUGAGAAAAGAAGGAAAAAACAAAGCUGGUUCACACCUUUGCAGUGACAUGCACUUUAAGGGAAAUGUUUGCAGGCUGCAAGCACACAGAAGAUGCUUUCAGCACAUUUUCAAAAAACCUGUAUUCAAUCUUUGCAAUUUGAACUCACUGACAAUUGGAACUUGCUCCUCACAAAGCACACAAAGCAGGAAUUGACAAUAAAAUCUUUUAAAUUGCAAGCACUUAAAGAAAAGCUUCACAAUUCAGCACUUUCAGCACAUUUGUGAGUCGCCAUGUAUACACACUGGCACAGUUCCAGAGUGCAUCAGCAAUUUCCUGCAUUUGGAAAACUGCAAACUGCCUCCAUUUGUGCAUUUAUUUCUAUUUCUCACCCCACUCUGGAGAUGGACAUCUGUCUCAAAUUCAAGACAUGUCUCAAGAAAUGGGGGUCAGAUGGUUGUCCAUAUAUUAACAACAUCAUCCCAAAAGCACCUACAUUUUUACAUUAAAGAGAAGCCAUUACUUGCACAUGUAAUUACCUGUUAAAAUAAUGCCCACAAAAAUCCAAGCACAAAGAAAGAUGUUUCCUGCACGAGGACUGUAGUCUGUUGUGAGCUUUCCUUGAACAAGUGUAAAGAUAAUUCCAAAUAUCUGUAAACAAACAAGUUACUUCAUCAGGACCACAGAAAAGAGUCAUAAUUUUACCUUUAAAAGUUCCAGGUCACAUCUUAUAGAAAUCGAAUUUUAAAAAACCAGGACUAUAGCAACAAAACAGAGACUUAUCUAAGUCUAAGAAAGCCUUUCUAGACUUAAGCAUCAUGGCAUUCCUGAACAUUACUUCACUUGAAGAAAUAAAAUGCUGUAACCUGUGCUGAUGCAUUAAGGAGACCUGAGGAAGUGCCUUCAGACUCUGGAUAUGUAAUUUCCACAGCAAAUUCAAACCCAAGUGGAAGAUAGCCAGUCAUGAAGAAUCUGUUGAAGAGGAGAGUAAGAGGAUGACAGGUGUGGUCUUCAUCUGUUACUACAGCUAAAAAAACCUAACAUACACGCAUGGUAUUAUGAAUUAGCUGGUAUUCUGAAUUGUCCUGUGUUCAUGACUUAACAGAACUCAAUAAUUCCAAAUAAUAGUGACUGCUUCAUUCCCUCAGUGUGAUCCAAGAAUUUUAGCCACACAUCUUUCUCUUUAGGGCAAAGCUAUUAAAGCAUGUUUGUCUUAUUUCCCAUAACUACCAUACACAUGAAACAACCUUUUCAAGGGAGUCUGCAAGCCACUCCAUACUUGAAGCCAAUUACUUUCAUAUGAAAGCCAUACACAAAUAUCAUCAUUUGAUCAAUGUCCAUGCUGGAGGACAAAAAAACCAUGAGUAGGGAGUGGGGCUGUACACUUGAACACCUGCUGGAGGCUGCAAUGGAAGAAGCUGAGGGGACCAAUGAACAAUGGGAAGAGAAGACGCUUAAUGCAGGGGAGGAUGGUUGAUUGGUUUUUAAACUGAAACUCUCAUGACUUUUCUGCUUUUAUCUUGACUUCUAUGUCUGAAUACAGCAGCACUCCUUCAGCACCUCUUGAGGCUUUUAGAUUGGAUAUCUAUGAGCACAGCAAACAAAGCAACCAGCAUGUUGCUUGGGCUAUCAAAGUAUAGAUUAAUGAAAAUGCAGAGAAGCCAGUUUUCCUAGAUCUGCUCAGUUAAAUUAAUCACCUACACACUGGUCAAGAGAAAGCUUCAACUUCACUGCAGACAGCUUUUUGAAUUGGAACCAAACAAAUUGACCUCACAGAGACCUCUCUUAGGUCCAUAAAAUGAUAAAUGAGAUUUACUGAAAAGUGAGUUACUUUAGCUUUAUUCAGAAGCUGAAACCCUAUCUGUACUCUGAGCUAAAGGCAUAGGCUGAGACCAUGGUGACAGAAUACACAGUAGAAUUACCUAGGUAAAACAUUUAAAUAUUUUUCAGAACAGAACUGCAGUAAGUCUUGUAGUGCUCUUUAAUUGCUCACCCAAGCACUCCUCCGGUCACAAACACUACUAUAAGGUAUCCGAGGUCCAGGGUGAAGGUAAAUACCAGCAGCCCAAUGAAAGAGAGAAUGUAAACAAUCAAAGUAGUUUGCCUGCAACCCAACAACAACAAAAAAUUAACAUUGUUCAUAGCAGGCCACAGCACAUUGCUGAAGCAUGGAGGAUAACAUGAACAUUACAUUCUAAAGCUAUAAAAUUUGCUUCAUGUAAUUCUGCCUCAAACUUAGCAUGCAGUGAGCACAUAUCCAUUACUGAACCCUUCAUUGUCUUGGUUAUCUGGCUGCUUCACUCAAGGCUAAGGACACUUAUCCAAACUCUCAGAGAAUGGACAAUCACAGCACAUUCUACUACCUUAAGACUAUUUUAGUUCUCUGCUAUUCUGUACCUCUUGGCCAUUCUGCAGUGCUGCCCAUUACACAAUACAUCAACACAGGAGCAGCUGAGUCCAACACUAUUAGCAAUAAAUGUCAGCCUACCAAGAGGAAGUGAAAGUACCAUGCACGAACAUAAAUUUGUAUCAGUCAUCCUCCAAGUGAAGGACUACAGAUGACAGAAGAUUCCAGCUACUCUUGUAGAAAUGUUCUUCAUUUGAUGUCAUGCUCCUGCCACUACAGUAGCAAAGCCUGACUGCAAGGUUUACUGAAGAACAGACAGAGCAGAGAAAAGGAAUAUCCUUAUUAAGACCAAACUCAACAAUUAUUGCUAAGGAAAUAAAUAAAAAUCACAGAAUGAAGAAGUAGUGGGUUUGUGUGUGAAGUGAAUUCCAAUGUAAUAACUGAUUUUGCAUUAAAGAGA